rnacentral:rRNA from 1 species
GAUGAACGCUAGCGGCAGGCCUAACACAUGCAAGUCGAGGGAGAAGCCCUUUCGGGGGCAGAAACCGGCGCACGGGUGCGUAACGCGUAUGCAACCUGCCUUUCACAGGGGGAUAGCCCGAAGAAAUUUGGAUUAAUACCCCAUAAUAUUAUUGGAUGGCAUCAUUUGAUAAUUAAAACUGCGGUGGUGAAAGAUGGGCAUGCGUCCUAUUAGCUAGUUGGAGUGGUAACGGCACCCCAAGGCUACGAUAGGUAGGGGUCCUGAGAGGGAGAUCCCCCACACUGGUACUGAGACAGGGACCAGACUCCUACGGGAGGCAGCAGUGAGGAAUAUUGGUCAAUGGUCGGAAGACUGAACCAGCCAUGCCGCGUGCAGGAAGAAUGCCUUAUGGGUUGUAAACUGCUUUUAUAUGGGAAGAAUAAGGCGUACGUGUACGUUGAUGACGGUACCAUAUGAAUAAGCAUCGGCUAACUCCGUGC